rnacentral:misc_RNA from 1 species
ACGCUUUACAUAAAUAUUCUAAAAUGGCCGCGUCUAUGCGUCUAUCACGACAAUCAGCUGACAAUGAGAGAUGGUAGGGACGAUUCGCGGCAAAUAAAUAACAGAGAGACCUGAUGCAGUGGCGAAGGUGGCAAUGACUCCACGAAUACAGCUUGAGAUAUUGGUGAUACUUGCAACAACAGUGUUUGUCCUGUUUGCAGCCUGGAACACCUUUAGUGCACAAUUAUCAGUAUGUGUCACAGUGUGCCUCUGUUGUCAGUUUUUGACACUGACACUGAAAACCUACCUGGACAACCAGCAACCUCACAUCAGACAACUGUUCAGAUCAAAAGCAGACCUUGGUUACCUGUGUUCUAUGCUGGUCCCAUUGACUGUUGUAGCUGAUCUGGUGUUCAUAGCUAGGCAGAAUGUCUUCAUCGAUAUGCUUGAAUGGUUGGAUGAGCAUCGCAAGACACUGCACGGUAUCGUGGAUAUCUGGGGGCUGGAUCAUCAGCACAAAGCUCAAGUCUAUAAUCACUACGCCUACUCCAUGUUGGGAUGUGCCUUCCUGGCGUCCUCCAUGGCUGCCCUGGCGGUCAUCACCAACAGAGAUCGCAGUAACCGUCUUCCCUCUACCUGCUCCUUGUGGACAAUGUCCGUGUUCAUUACGGCAUCUGCUAUUUCAUCUUCUGUUAUGUUGGUCAUGGCAGGUACCAUGGCAACUGUGAUGGCUCUAGUGCUGUCCGUCCUUGUGUUUCUUGUCAUCUUCCAUCUUCCAAACCACCUCCCCAGGACCUUCACCCUGGGAGAGUUGUCCUGCAGCAUCCAGCUCCUGGCAGUCCUGCUGUGGAAGCCAGUGCAUGUUUAUACCUCUACAGACAUCAUCAACUUUAAAAUAUACAGUAUAGAUUCUUUGCAUGCAAUUAUAUUUGUUGCUCUACUUGUGAUUAUCAUCAUGUACGUCCUCCUUCCUGCAACUGUCCGUGGAGAACGUCCGUGGGUGUUCUAUGUGGUGUUCACAUGCGUGUCAGCAGUGUUGGUCGUCCCUGCAUCAUACCUGGUCCUCAGGAAGGACAUUGUCACAUGGAUGUUCACCAGCAUAUUCAAACAUCCGAAGAGGGUGAGUCUGCUGUUGUACUGGCUGGUGUGCUCUGUUGUGGCGGCUGUGCUGAGCUUGUAUCAAGGGUCGAGUGCAAAGGGAGACACCAUCACCCGCAAGUCAUUCCAUCUGGUCAUAGUAGCCGUAUACAUUCCAGGGCUGUUGGUGGAUGCAGAGUUCCUACACCUAGCAUCUGUGUGUGCUGGAGCCUUCCUGCUGCUGCUUGAAGCUGUGAGGGUUCACUCUAUUCCUCCUCUGGGGCAGGUUAUUGACAGCUCAUUCAAGAUGUUUGUCGAUGACAAGGAUGAAGGCCCUGUGAUACUGACCCACAUCUACCUCCUCGUGGGCCUGUCUCUGCCACUCUGGAUCUCCAGCAUCAGGCCGGUCAAUGGUGCUCUGCUGCCCAUGUACAGUGGAGUUAUCUCCCUUGGUGUGGGCGACACGGCAGCAUCUGUAGGGGGAGUUCUGUUAGGUCAACACAAGUGGCCAGAAAGUAACAAGUCUCUAGAAGGAACAGCCUUGUGUGCCAUCAGUCAGGCUCUAGUCAUGGCCUGCCUCACACUAUCAGGGGGAGUGUCGAGUCCACUCAGCCUGUCUCUUGUCCUACCAGUCAUCCUGUCUUCGCUGUAUGAAGCUUUUACACUGCAAGUAGACAACCUGGUUCUACCCUUGCUGACUUAUUCUCUGCUCUGUGUGUCAUGACAGAAUCAGCACGGCAUCAAGUCAUCAUUGUCGUACAGUAUUCUACAAAAGAUGGGUCAACAAGGACCACACCCUUUGCAUCCCAGAAUACACUUUUUUCACCGGAGAAGUGGAAUGGUGCCAAUCAAUGGAUUGACAUUUUGACUCGGGAUCAAAGUGGUAGACCCAUGUUUCAUCACCCGUUAAUAAUCUCUUUUUGAAUUAGACGGAAUCCACCUCUAUUAGCUCUUCAUGUUCUCUGGCAAGGUCAGUUUUUUCCCCUUACGAUGAGAAUUUAGAAGCUUUGACACCCAACGAGCAGAUAUCAUAUUCAUCUGCAAAUGUUCAUGAAUAAUAGUUUUGUGGAUCCGUGGCUUAGACCUGUGUCUGCCUCAAGUAAAGUAAUGGUAAUACGUCUAUCUGACAGUAAAAGUUUUUAUAUCUCCUUGAUUGAAUCUUCAUUGAUGGAAGGUGUGGGACGUCAAGACCUACGGUCAUCAUCAAGGCUUGUACUCCCAGCCUUAAACAUAGCUGCCGUUUAACACUGUAAUAGCUAGGGCAUUUUUCCCCAUACACUUGUAACAUGCAGUCAUGGAUUUCUUU